rnacentral:tRNA from 1 species
GGGGAUUUAGCUCAGCGGUAGAGCGCUUGCCUAGCAAACGAAAGGCCCUGGGUUCGGUCCCCAGCUCCG